rnacentral:rRNA from 1 species
UACAGAGGUCCCAAGCGUUGUUCGGAUUCAUUGGGCGUAAAGGGUGCGUAGGCGGCGCGGUAAGUCGGGUGUGAAAUCUCGGAGCUUAACUCCGAAACUGCAUUCGAUACUGCCGUGCUUGAGGACUGGAGAGGAGACUGGAAUUUACGGUGUAGCGGUGAAAUGCGUAGAUAUCGUAAGGAAGACCAGUGGCGAAGGCGGGUCUCUGGACAGUUCCUGACGCUGAGGCACGAAAGCUAGGGGAGCAAACAGG